GUCGAACGGGGAUCACGGGGUUAGCAAUAACUCCGUGGUUCUAGUGGCGCACGGGUGAGUAACACGUGGGUGACCUGCCCUUGAGACUGGGAUACCCCCUCGAAAGGGGGGCUAAUACCGGAUACGUUCCUCGGAUCGAAAGGUCUGAGGAGGAAAGGUGGCGAAAGCUGCCGCUCUUGGAGGGGCUCGCGGCCUAUCAGCUAGUUGGCGGGGUAACGGCCCACCAAGGCUAUGACGGGUAGCUGGUCUGAGAGGACGACCAGCCACACGGGGACUGAGACACGGCCCCGACUCCUACGGGAGGCAGCAGUGGGGAAUUUUCCGCAAUGGGCGAAAGCCUGACGGAGUGACGCCGCGUGUGGGACGAAGGCCUUCGGGUCGUAAACCACUGUCAGUGGGAAAGAUGGGUGUCGGCGCGAUAGCCGCCGGCAUUUGACGGUACCUGCAGAGGAAGCCCCGGCUAACUCUGUGCCAGCAGCCGCGGUAAGACAGAGGGGGCAAGCGUUGCUCGGAAUUACUGGGCGUAAAGGGCGCGUAGGCGGGAUGGCAAGUCGGUCGUGAAAUCCCUCGGCUCAACUGAGGAUCGUCGAUCGAUACUGCCGUUCUUGAGGAUUGCAGAGGAGACUGGAAUUCCCGGUGUAGCGGUGAAAUGUGUAGAGAUCGGGAGGAACACCGGUGGCGAAGGCGGGUCUCUGGGCAAUUCCUGACGCUGAGGCGCGAAAGCGUGGGGAGCAAACGGGAUUAGAUACCCCGGUAGUCCCACGCUGUAAACGAUGACGACUAGGUGUGGGGGGGUUCAGUCCCUUCCGUGCCG
rnacentral:rRNA from 1 species